CUAACUCUCAGGGUAGCUCAGCCAACGAGCUUGGGUAUGCUCCUCUUUGUUCUCAUCAACUUCCAAAUGCCUGGUGCUCCAGGGCUCCUCUUUGGACACCAGUGGGCUUAGAGAAGGCUACACUUUGAAAUCCGCUGGAAUUGAACGUUAAAGGAUUACUAAUGUCCGGACACCUCUCUGACCAGUCGUGCUCUGUGGGGGCGGGGCUCUGGUGUGAAUAGUUUGUCAAGGCUCCCCAGAGCCUUCUACACAGAGGACAGCCAAUUUAACCACAGAGCACUGGCUGCGAUUCACCACCCCACCUGCUUGGCCUCAUUGCAUCCUGCCAAGGUGAUGUGGGUGCACCCUGUCUAUCUGAGGAGCAAAGAGAUGGACCUCCCAGCCAGGGCUUGAACACCACUGGGCUCCUUUGCUCAGAGUCUUGUUUUCCAUACCCCUAACACACAUUUGCUGGCUCCUGCUUUUGAUCCUCCUACUUCUGGCUUCUUUCUGGGACUUUACCAGUGACCCCUUCCCUUCAGCACCUUGGCACAGCCCUGGUCUUUGGAAUUCAGCUUGUGUUAGAAGAACUUCCUCUGGGGCUGACUGUUCAUUAGUCUUGGCUCUAAACAGAGUCACCUGUGUGCACAGAUCCUGACCAAUUUUGUAUAGAUAGGGCUUGGUCUGUUUACUUAUUCAUUCAACAAAUAUUGGUGGAAGACUUUGAAUUCCCAUUGUAGGUAGUAGAGGUUACAAUUAUGGGCAAAAAGCCACAUCUUUCUAAGAGUUUGCAGGUGUGUCUGGAAUAUUAAACCAAUAAUUUUACACGAGA